rnacentral:rRNA from 1 species
GAUGAACGCUGGCGGCGUGCCUAAUACAUGCAAGUCGAGCGAACAGACGAGGAGCUUGCUCCUCUGACGUUAGCGGCGGACGGGUGAGUAACACGUGGAUAACCUACCUAUAAGACUGGGAUAACUUCGGGAAACCGGAGCUAAUACCGGAUAAUAUAUUGAACCGCAUGGUUCAAUAGUGAAAGACGGUUUUGCUGUCACUUAUAGAUGGAUCCGCGCCGCAUUAGCUAGUUGGUAAGGUAACGGCUUACCAAGGCAACGAUGCGUAGCCGACCUGAGAGGGUGAUCGGUCACACUGGAACUGAGACACGGUCCAGACUCCUACGGGAGGCAGCAGUAGGGAAUCUUCCGCAAUGGGCGAAAGCCUGACGGAGCAACGCCGCGUGAGUGAUGAAGGUCUUCGGAUCGUAAAACUCUGUUAGUAGGGAAGAACAAAUGUGUAAUUAACUAUGCACGUCUUGACGGUACCUAAUCAGAAAGCCACGGCUAACUACGUG